rnacentral:rRNA from 1 species
UACGGGGGGUGCAAGCGUUAAUCGGAAUUACUGGGCGUAAAGAGCACGUAGGCGGUUAUGUAAGUCGGAUGUGAAAGCCCAGGGCUUAACCUUGGAAUUGCAUUCGAAACUGCAUGGCUUGAGUUUGGUAGAGGCUAGCGGAAUUCCAGGUGUAGCGGUGAAAUGCGUAGAUAUCUGGAGGAACAUCAGUGGCGAAGGCGGCUGGCUGGACCAAAACUGACGCUGAGGUGCGAAAGCGAGGGUAGCAAACAGG